UACGGAGGAUCCAAGCGUUAUCCGGAUUUAUUGGGUUUAAAGGGUGCGUAGGCGGUUUAUUAAGUCAGGGGUGAAAGACGGCAGCUUAACUGUCGCAGUGCCUUUGAUACUGAUGAACUUGAAUGUACUAGAAGUAGGCGGAAUGUGACAAGUAGCGGUGAAAUGCAUAGAUAUGUCACAGAACACCGAUUGCGAAGGCAGCUUACUAUGGUAUUAUUGACGCUGAGGCACGAAAGCGCGGGGAUCAAACAGG
rnacentral:rRNA from 1 species